rnacentral:lncRNA from 1 species
GUUGAAGAGUGUGCCUACUGCCCACAUGGGCUAGCGUUUAAAAUGUGCUGAGUAGCUGGAAGGAUCCUGAGUACAUUGGGCCCAGCAGGUCGGAUUAGAAGACGUGAAAUCUAGCUAAAAGAAACGGGCUACUACCAUUGAUCUUCCAGUUGUUGCCUAUUCGGUUACUGUUUACCGAGAGAGAUGAUGUGAAACAUGGGAAAAACAUGAAAAAAACUCAUUUUUUAGAGGAUCAGGAAUCCGCAGGUUUGUUUCACUAUAAAUGCUGCUGAAGUCUAGCUCUGGGACUUUGGCGGUUUUCUUAAGAGACAAGCUCUUUCCCUAGUAAGGGAAAACGAAACUCGUCCUAGCGCGCGAAAUACAGUAACAGCCGAACCGAAAGUAGGAGGCCUGGGAACUUUGGGCAAGGGCAGGACGUAACGCAGGUAAAUGCGCGUGUGCAGAAUGAAAAUGACCAAUGCAGAUCCUACAGGGGUGGCUUGUAGGCAGGGAGGACCCCAAUGAUAGACCAGGACGGAGGGGUGGGGAACACAGAAGGAAAGGGAUAUGAUUUUAGCUGGCGGGACCUGGACACCGUGGGAACAGCCCCGCCCAAGCAAAGGGCAGGCCGCACGGCCCAAAAGAAGGGGCGUGGCUUAGGAGAACCGCGGCUGCUAGCCUUUUACGUGUUGGAUGAAAACGGUGUGAGGGGCGUGGCAAAUGGACGAGUUCUCGGGAGGGGCGGUCCCAGGUGGAAGGCAAGUUUCCAGACUGGAGAACAGGGACAGAGGCUCCAGGGAGGAACUUCUGGAGGGUAGCACGAGUGAAGGCCUUACCACAGGUGUUCAGAUUCCUGCAAGUUACUUUGCAACUGAUGAAGAUUUCAAGCUAAAGAUGAUGGUGAUACAGAGCCUGAAGGUCACUCUUCAAGCAGCUCCCUGCAAUUCUCUGUGUAAAAGGUUCCCAGUUCCCAGCUCAAUACCUUCAAGUUUUCUGCAAUAUUCAUGCAGAGAGGAAUGAGGAAUAAAAGACAAGCGGCCAACAUUCAAGAUCACUGUAGUCA